AUUGAACGCUGGCGGCAGGCCUAACACAUGCAAGUCGAGCGGAUGAAGGGAGCUUGCUCCUGGAUUCAGCGGCGGACGGGUGAGUAAUGCCUAGGAAUCUGCCUGGUAGUGGGGGAUAACGUCCGGAAACGGGCGCUAAUACCGCAUACGUCCUGAGGGAGAAAGUGGGGAAUCUUCGGACCUCACGCUAUCAGAUGAGCCUAGGUCGGAUUAGCUAGUUGGUGGGGUAAAGGCCUACCAAGGCGACGAUCCGUAACUGGUCUGAGAGGAUGAUCAGUCACACUGGAACUGAGACACGGUCCAGACUCCUACGGGAGGCAGCAGUGGGGAAUAUUGGACAAUGGGCGAAAGCCUGAUCCAGCCAUGCCGCGUGUGUGAAGAAGGUCUUCGGAUUGUAAAGCACUUUAAGUUGGGAGGAAGGGCAGUAAGUUAAUACCUUGUUGUUUUGACGUUACCAACAGAAUAAGCACCGGCUAACUUCGUG
rnacentral:rRNA from 1 species